UACGGGGGGGCAAGCGUUGUUCGGAAUUACUGGGCGUAAAGGGCGCGUAGGCGGUCAGCACAAGUCAGUUGUGAAAUCUCCGGCCUUAACUCGGAAAGGUCAACUGAUACUGUGCGACUAGAGUGCAGAAGGGCAACUGGAAUUCUCGGUGUAGCGGUGAAAUGCGUAGAUAUCGAGAGGAACACCUGCGGCGAAGGCGGGUUGCUGGGCUGACACUGACGCUGAUGCGCGAAAGCCAGGGGAGCGAACGGG
rnacentral:rRNA from 1 species